rnacentral:rRNA from 1 species
AAUGGGCGAAAGCCUGAUGCAGCAACGCCGCGUGAGGGACGAAGGCCUUCGGGUCGUAAACCUCUUUUCUGGGGAACGAGCAAGGACGGUACCUCAGGAAUAAGUCUCGGCUAACUACGUGCCAGCAGCCGCGGUAAAACGUAGGAGGCGAGCGUUAUCCGGAUUUACUGGGCGUAAAGCGCACGCAGGCGGCUUCGUUAGUCGGAUGUGAGAGCUCCUGGCUUAACUGGGAGAGGCCAUUCGAUACUGCGAGGCUUGAGGUUGGGAGAGGGGUGUGGAAUUCCCGGUGUAGUGGUGGAAUGCGUAGAUAUCGGGAGGAACACCUGUGGCGAAAGCGGCACCCUGGCCCACACCUGACGCUGAGGUGCGAAAGCGUGGGGAGCAAA